AUACUUACCUGGUGCCGGGGCCUCGUUGAUAACCGAGGACGAGCCCCCAGGGCGAGGCGCGGGCAUUGCACUGCGCUCGCGUUUGUCCCUGCCACUUUCCCAAACUGGGGCACGUGGGGCGUGCAAAUUGC
rnacentral:snRNA from 1 species